AGCGCAACCCCUAUCCUUAGUUGCCAGCAGGUACAGCUGGGCACUCUAGGGAGACUGCCAGGGAUAACCUGGAGGAAGGUGGGGAUGACGUCAAAUCAUCAUGCCCCUUAUGACCUGGGCUACACACGUGCUACAAUGGCGUAAACAAAGAGAAGCGAAGUCGUGAGGCCGAGCAAAUCUCAUAAAUACCGUCUCAGUUCGGAUUGUAGUCUGCAACUCGACU
rnacentral:rRNA from 1 species